rnacentral:rRNA from 1 species
UACGUAGGGGGCAAGCGUUUGUCCGGAGUUUAUUGGGCGUAAAGAGGCGUGUAGGCGGCUUUACAGGUCCGUUGGUGAAAACUCGAGGCUCAACCUCGAGACGCCGGUGGAAACCGUAAAGCUAGAGUCCGGAAGAGGAGAGUGGAAAUUCCUGGUGUAGCGGUGGAAUGCGCAGAUAUCAGGAGGAACACCGAUGGCGAAGGCAGUUCUCUGGGCCGUAACUGACGCUGAGGAGCGAAAGCGUGGGGAGCGAACAGG